AUGGUAGGAGAUGAGGACAAGCAGCGCAGGCUCUUCCCGGAAGCUCAGAUCCCUCUGUUCUCCACGGGCAUUGGCCAGGCAGGGCACUACCUGCAUCUCUGCCUGACCUACCACCUACCUCUGGUCUGUGCCACUUUGAUCCUGCUGCUCCUUGGCCUUUCUGGCCUGGGUCUUGGUGGCUUCCUCCUCACCCACAGAGCUGACUGCAUAGCCCUGACAUCUCCCAGGACUGGGUCUCCUUAUUAAGAUCUUUUGGCCAGCUGACCCUGUGCCCCGUGAAUGGGACAGUCACAGGGAAGGGGCGUGGGUCUCAUGUCAUGGGCUUACUGGCCACCUUGAACUUCGGAGAUGGUCCAGACAGGAACAAGAGCCAGACAUUCCAAGCCCAGGUCCAGGGUAGUCAGAUGGGAUUGAAAGGAUCUUUUGCAGGAAAGCUGGUCCUUGUUACGGCCAGGGUGAUCACAAAAAGGACCCCAGGAACCUGCCUGUAUUUUAGUGCUACUCCAGAAAUCCUGCCCUCCAGCCAGCCACUGAUACCCUGCUCAGAGGAGGGAGCAGGAAAUGCCACCCUGAGUCCUAGAAUGGCUGAGGAGUGUGUCAGUGUCUGGAGCCACGAAGGUCUUGUGUUCAUCAAGUUGCUCACCUCGGAGAAGCUGGUUCUGCGUGGCUCUCGGCUACUGGUUUUGGGCUUCUUCCUGAUUCUGUUCUGUGGCCUCUGCUGUCUCACUGCAGCAUGCUUCCAUCCAUGCCGGGAGUCUCACUGGUCUAGAACCCGGCUCUGAGGGCUCUGGCUUAGUUCCUGUCUCGCUCUCAGGUGUGGAUCAACUUCUUGGGCUUUGAUUCUGAGUUGGAAGAGAUGUUACCAAAAGUGGAGAGCUGGAAUGUGGGAGGAAAUAAAAGGCUUUUUUGCUCAAU